GAGUUUGAUUAUGGCUCAGGAUGAACGCUAGCGACAGGCUUAACACAUGCAAGUCGAGGGGCAUCACGAAUUAGCAAUAGUUUGGUGGCGACCGGCGCACGGGUGCGUAACACGUAUACAACCUACCUUUAAUAGAGGGAUAACCUGGAGAAAUUCGGACUAAUACCUCAUAGUAAGAUAUUUAGGCAUCUGGAUAUUUUUAAAGAUUUAUCGAUUAGAGAUGGGUAUGCGUAGGAUUAGCUAGUUGGUAAGGUAACGGCUUACCAAGGCGACGAUCCUUAGGGGUUCUGAGAGGAAGGUCCCCCACACUGGUACUGAGACACGGACCAGACUCCUACGGGAGGCAGCAGUGAGGAAUAUUGGUCAAUGGGCGAGAGCCUGAACCAGCCAAGUCGCGUGAAGGAAGACAGCCUUAUGGGUUGUAAACUUCUUUUGUAACAGGGGUAAAAGGUUUCUACGUGUAGGG
rnacentral:rRNA from 1 species